rnacentral:lncRNA from 1 species
UGAGACAUCUCCUAACCGCCGCCGGCGAUGAGCCACAGUGCGUGUCCGCACAGUGUUAUAGGAUAAACCAAAAACGCCCUUUAAAAAUUACUAAAUCCCCGUUGUAUCAAAAUUUAACAAUGUGCGGCAUGUGCCCCCUUUCAGUCGGUAUCUUCAGAAUCCAUUUUCUGAAUCUCAUAAACUAAUCUUUUUCCUGGAACUCCACACCUCCAUUUCACGAUUCCCAACACACUCGUACUCUCUCCCUCUCUGUUAUGUGAUUCUGCAACAAGGUCAGUUCUCAGUUGUGACAUGCUUUGACACUCCUUUUUAUUCUUCAUAUCUCAUUCUUUCUUUUGCUGGGUUACUGAUUAAAAAAAUUACUCAAAGAUUGCCAAAUUUUGUGCAAGUUCUAAUAAAGUUGAGUUAUUGUGCUUCAGAUUAAGGAAUACCCUCUAGACCCACAUGAAAAUUUUGGGUUACACUUGUAUACUAGUUGGUGCUUGCUCUAUCCUGGACUUUUAUAAGAGAUUUUUGGAAAGUUUUCUGGGGUUUCUCUUGAUGGACUGUGUUUCAUGUUUGAAGCUUUUGAACAGUGAUUUUGGAUGUGGGUUUUUGGUAUUUAGGUGUUUUAGACUAGUUUUUUAUGUUUUGGGUUUGCUUUUGUUGUUUGGUUUGGGGUUGAAAUUCUUGGAAUUUGGCUGGCACUACUGGGGUUUUAGUCAAAUUCUCUGUGUUCUUGGUGGGGUUUCAAGUGAAUUAAGAAAUGGGUUUAAUCCAAAAAAUGGUUUUAAU